AUUGAACGCUGGCGGCAUGCCUUACACAUGCAAGUCGAACGGCAGCGCGGGGCAACCUGGCGGCGAGUGGCGAACGGGUGAGUAACAUAUCGGAACAUACCCUAGAGUGGGGGAUAACGUAGCGAAAGUUACGCUAAUACCGCAUACGCACUAAGGUGGAAAGUGGGGGAUUCGCAAGAACCUCAUGCUCAUGGAGUGGCCGAUAUCUGAUUAGCUAGUUGGUGAGGUAAAGGCUCACCAAGGCGACGAUCAGUAGCUGGUUUGAGAGAACGACCAGCCACACUGGAACUGAGACACGGUCCAGACUCCUACGGGAGGCAGCAGUGGGGAAUUUUGGACAAUGGGGGCAACCCUGAUCCAGCAAUGCCGCGUGAGUGAAGAAGGCCUUCGGUUGUAAGACUCUUUGUCUAGGGAAG
rnacentral:rRNA from 1 species